rnacentral:sRNA from 1 species
AUUUAUUAUAGGACUGCCGAAGACAGCAGGUGCUGAAAAGCAUAAGUAUGAAAACGCCUGCCGAGGAAGAACAGAUACAAUACAUUGCGUAUGAUUUUCUGAACCUCUGUGUCUUUGGACGCAGAGGUUUUUUAU